GGUUGUGGCUCAGAGGUAGAGCACUUGCCUAGGAUGCAUGAGGCACUGGGUUCAAUCCUCAGCACCA
rnacentral:tRNA from 1 species